AAAUUGAAGAGUUUGAUCAUGGCUCAGAUUGAACGCUGGCGGCAGGCCUAACACAUGCAAGUCGAACGGUAACAGGAAGCAGCUUGCUGCUUUGCUGACGAGUGGCGGACGGGUGAGUAAUGUCUGGGAAACUGCCUGAUGGAGGGGGAUAACUACUGGAAACGGUGGCUAAUACCGCAUAACGUCGCAAGACCAAAGAGGGGGACCUUCGGGCCUCUUGCCAUCAGAUGUGCCCAGAUGGGAUUAGCUAGUUGGUGAGGUAACGGCUCACCAAGGCGACGAUCCCUAGCUGGUCUGAGAGGAUGACCAGCCACACUGGAACUGAGACACGGUCCAGACUCCUACGGGAGGCAGCAGUGGGGAAUAUUGCACAAUGGGCGCAAGCCUGAUGCAGCCAUGCCGCGUGUAUGAAGAAGGCCUUAGGGUUGUAAAGUACUUUCAGCGGGGAGGAAGGUGUUGUGGUUAAUAACCGCAGCAAUUGACGUUACCCGCAGAAGAAGCACCGGCUAACUCCGUGCCAGCAGCCGCGGUAAUACGGAGGGUGCAAGCGUUAAUCGGAAUUACUGGGCGUAAAGCGCACGCAGGCGGUCUGUCAAGUCGGAUGUGAAAUCCCCGGGCUCAACCUGGGAACUGCAUUCGAAACUGGCAGGCUUGAGUCUUGUAGAGGGGGGUAGAAUUCCAGGUGUAGCGGUGAAAUGCGUAGAGAUCUGGAGGAAUACCGGUGGCGAAGGCGGCCCCCUGGACAAAGACUGACGCUCAGGUGCGAAAGCGUGGGGAGCAAACAGGAUUAGAUACCCUGGUAGUCCACGCCGUAAACGAUGUCUACUUGGAGGUUGUGCCCUUGAGGCGUGGCUUCCGGAGCUAACGCGUUAAGUAGACCGCCUGGGGAGUACGGCCGCAAGGUUAAAACUCAAAUGAAUUGACGGGGGCCCGCACAAGCGGUGGAGCAUGUGGUUUAAUUCGAUGCAACGCGAAGAACCUUACCUGGUCUUGACAUCCACAGAACUUUCCAGAGAUGGAUUGGUGCCUUCGGGAACUGUGAGACAGGUGCUGCAUGGCUGUCGUCAGCUCGUGUUGUGAAAUGUUGGGUUAAGUCCCGCAACGAGCGCAACCCUUAUCCUUUGUUGCCAGCGAUUAGGUCGGGAACUCAAAGGAGACUGCCAGUGAUAAACUGGAGGAAGGUGGGGAUGACGUCAAGUCAUCAUGGCCCUUACGACCAGGGCUACACACGUGCUACAAUGGCGCAUACAAAGAGAAGCGACCUCGCGAGAGCAAGCGGACCUCAUAAAGUGCGUCGUAGUCCGGAUUGGAGUCUGCAACUCGACUCCAUGAAGUCGGAAUCGCUAGUAAUCGUGGAUCAGAAUGCCACGGUGAAUACGUUCCCGGGCCUUGUACACACCGCCCGUCACACCAUGGGAGUGGGUUGCAAAAGAAGUAGGUAGCUUAACCUUCGGGAGGGCGCUUACCACUUUGUGAUUCAUGACUGGGGUGAAGUCGUAACAAGGUAACCGUAGGGGAACCUGCGGUUGGAUCACCUCCUUA
rnacentral:rRNA from 3 species